rnacentral:lncRNA from 1 species
UCGAUCAAGUUGUUUGUUCCUAAUAGCAAGAUAGAUACGUGGCUUUUGAGAUUAUAGUGGGUUCGUGUUUGAUCCAAAAAAUUUGUGCGAGUCGUGCGUCGUUGAAUUGCUAGCAAGAAGUCAUUAGAAAGUAAGGAAAUAAAAUAACCUGAACUUUUCUUGUUUGAAGGCUGAGGAUCGAGCCUAAAAAAGAAUCCUUUCUCGUUCUUUUAAGCAGCGCUGAAUCCGUUGCGUUAUCGAAAGGAACUAGCUGGUGAACUUACGAUGCUUCGUAUGAAUUCGGGGAAAUCAUGCAAGUUCAUCAGAAACCCUAGAAAUGGUUGCUCUUGCUGGUGCACUGCACGUUAGAGGAUUCAGCACCUUCUUCCCACUUCUUUACUGAAAAGAGAAGACAACGUAUCAAUGGACAUUCCACUCGGCACAAGAUAAAAAAAAAAAAAAGCGUCGAUGCUUCAUUAACACGUGCAAUAUUUGAUCCACACCGCAAGGCCGCGGCGGUGUCGGAGAAGCGAAGAGGAGGUGAAGAGAGCUCUUGCCGGAUGAGAAGGUGUGAGGGAGAGCAUCUCGCGGUGGCAGUCCGGUGACUUUCACGGUCGCGGCGGCUAUUUUCUCCCCGGGGUCGGAGCUUACUAGGGAAGCGAGGUGUCUACCAGGGCGUCUCCCAUGGUCCGAAUAUUUCAAAAACGAAAGGUUGAAGAAGAUGACGACGACGAAGAAGAUGUUUGAUUUCUUUGGGGAUAAUUUUAUUAUUUUAUUUUAUCUCUUUUUCAGGUGUCGAGACGGAUCGGGCCUGAGAAAUGAAGUGGGCCGGGUUGGGCCAUCGUACGUGUGGGCCUGAGUCAUUGGGCCAUUCGCAUUGCCCAACCAUCCAAAGGAUUCUACAAAUGAGAUGAUUUUCACUGAAUUUUUUUAAGUUAUUUGAAGCAAUUUUCGCAACCAUAAUUUUUUUUCAUUGACCUUAUGUCUACGCUCUCCUAUGAUAAACAAUGGCGACGGCUUUUGUUCUCGAUAUUCGACCGUCAAGUUUUAUGAACGGCCAUCCAAGAAAUUACAUACAUUCUGUCUCUUGCUCCGCCCACCUAUUCGACCUCUCUCUGCUAUGGUCGCGCCCCUUUUCUCCUAUGAUAUGAGAACAUGCAUGCUCUAGUUCCUAAAAGAGUCCACCAUCAAGAAUAUGCAUUUCGAAAUUAAUUAAUUUGCCAUUUUCCUUAUUUUUCUAUUAUAUAACAUCACGUUCUCACAUGUGUGUUAUUGUGAAGUGGGACCUCGGAAAAGGUGAAUUGAAAUGCUCCAAUCUGAAGGGUGAUCCAGUAUUUCAUAAAUUGUGCAUGCUAUUUUGGUAAUGAAUUGUUUUAGCACAUGUACAAUGCACUUUCGUUUUUUCAAAUUAUAUCGUCAGCAAAAGUAUGGAUAAUAACUUGAAGUGAAACCAUUUUUGGAGGCCCAAGCCCAACUGAUCCAUUUCAAGAAAAUAUCCUUGGCCCAUCAUGUAAGAACGGAGAAUUAGAUAGCAGAUUGGUUAGCCAAAGCCAAAGAUACUCUUCCACCUGCUUGGUUAACUCAAGCGCCCCAACUUUUAUGGAAUUUGCUUUAGUUUUUUUUUUUUUUUUAUGGAAUUUGCUUUAGUUUGAUGUCCCAUCUUCGAGCUUUUUGUCUAAGAACUCGUGAUGACAAAUAAAAGUAGUUUUUCAGACAAAAAAAAAUGAGAAGGGAAAAGUACCAGAAAAGUAAAUUUAUUAUAUUGAUAGCAAUUGAAUCAUAAGUAUUUCAAUUAGAUCAAUUUAGUUUUAUACAUUUUCACAUUGGCACCAAUUCAAUUCACUCCGCCAAUUGGGGUUAGAAAUUGUUGACGUGGACGUUGGUUGACACUGAUAUAGAUAUUUUUAAUAAUAUAUUUUAUUAUUAUUUUUAUUUUUUCUCUUUUCUUGCCUUUUUUUUUGUCGGUGGCCAACCAUCGGUCACAACCAUGGCCAGCAAGGGCUGGCCUCAUUUGGGUGAGGUUGCCCUCACUAGGUUGAGGGGGAGUGUUAGCCGUCCAAGCACAAUAUAGAUUGAAUUGGUAUCAACAUAAAAAGGUUGAAAACUAUAUUAGUCCAACUGAAAAGUUUAGGAUUGAAUUGACAUCAAUACAAUAGGUUUAUUACUCUUUCGAUACUUUUUUCGAGAAGGUGGAAAGCAUCACCAAGUCCCGUCUUAUAAAUUUAAUAGAUUAACAGUUGGAUAGUCUGCUACAAAGAUUAGUUCUACAGAAUUGACGACCAUGAUGAACUUUCCCCGAGUUAUCACUUACAAAUAUGACAUAGAGACACACAAGGACAGAUCAUAUGACACCACACCACACCACACCACUCCAAAUGUGCAUACUAAGAAGUGAAAUUAGGCUCAUACUCACUCUCAAAUUCCCAAAGUGCACUCGUUAGAAUUAGGAGAGUACUCAUAUUUAAGGGUGACAAUAGGAAUUUUAAAUUAUAUAUAAAUAAUCGUUGUUACUCUUUUUUUUUAUUGUGAAUUUUCUUUUUUAUUUUAGAAUUCAAAUAUUAUUUAUAUUUAUUUAUUAUUCUUUAAUAAUUUAAUAAGUUAUAUGAGAAGAUAGUUUUCAUACUAUAGAUAUAUGAAAUCUUUUCCAUCUUUAUCUUAUCUCUCUCAUGAGAUAUUUUUAUUUUGGUUACAUCUCUCUUAUAUCCAAUCUUAUCAUGUCAUAAGCAUGAACCAAAUAUAGGAUAAGAUAGAAAUUAUUAUAUCCUAACUUUUACUGACUACAAAACUUAGCAUAAACUCAUACACUGUCGGAUUUUCAAAAGGCAUUCACUGGACUCUACUGCUAUUUUAGGGAUCGCAAUUAUGAAUUUCAUUUAUAAAUAAUAGAAAAUACUUGAAUGGAGAGAGAGAGAAAGAGUCAAAAGCUUCAAUUUCUAAAUGACAAAAUUGCCCCCUCUCUAGCCAUCGGAAUAAGCAAGCUGAUAAAGAGUUGAUCAGCCGAUGAGUUCAAACUCUUAUUUGAGAUUAAAUAAAACCACUUCACACUUUUAUUUGAGAUAAAUUAUACUUUUAACCUUCUUUUAAGGAAACAACCAUACUCAAAACCCUUAUUACAAAAUUUUCCCUUCAUAAUAUGUUUUUUAUUAGAAUAUUCAAAAUAAUAAAUUACACAUUUAUUUAACUUCUUAAAUUUAUAAAAUAAUUAGUAAUAAUUUCAUAAAUUCUCCUAUAACAUCAUAAUAAGACGUCUUAUUUUCAUGAUAUUUAACCUUCCCCCCCUUCCCGCGAAAAAGGGAAUCAAAAGGCUCCGAUUCAAAGAGCGGUCCACCAUUUCAAAGAUUGGACACCACUACUUUGGCGAUGGAUUAUCUUAAUGCGCACGCAUCACGCUUUCACUUGUUCAAGUUAUCUUGUCAACGAACUAAUGGUAUGGAUCAAGCCACCCGUCCAAAUCGAAAAUCUUUCAUGGUCUUGUCAAAUCAUUCACACGUGAAAAACCAUCGUAAAAAGAAAGGCAGCGAGACUUCCAAAAGGAGUCCUCGGGGUCGUUUAACAAUUCCUUUUGGCGCGCGUUUCAUGCGCUCGUGUGAAAAGCAGAUACACGGUUUCAAACAUCGGGAAGAAUGACCUGGACAUCACCUUUAUAAUUUAUAAGAACCUUCUCAAAUUAAAUAUAACACGUGGAAUAUAAAAAGAAAAAUAAUGGUGAAUCUCAUUCGUCAUUAACAUAUCACUUAGCGGAUGCGAAAAAACACUUGGGCUCCGUUCGUUUCGCGGAAAAUAAUUUAUGAGAAAACGUUUUUCGAAUUUUCCGACGUUCGUUUCACAUAAAAUGAAUUAUUUAGAAAAAUAUUCCCCAUCAAAAGAAAAAAGUCUUCUAAAGUAAGGGAAAAUGUUUUUUCACUUUUGAAAAGUGGAAAACAUUUUCUUCACUUGAUCUCUUUUACCUCACAUUUUUACAAAUCCUCACUUCUUUCUCCCAUUUUUUCUUUUUCUUUUCUUUUUUCAUUUGAAUUAUUUUUUAAUUAUUUUUCUUUUUUUUCUUUAUUUCUCAUCUUCUUCUUUAUUGGCUAGUCUCGCGCUCAUCGAUCUGACGAGUCUCAAGCUUGAUGCUCACGCUCACCAAUCUAAUGAACGGAAAAUAUUUUCUUUACCGAACGCUAAAAAAUAUUUUUCGAAAUAUUUUCAGGUUUUAACUGAACACCAGAAAGUAUUGUUAUUUUUCUGGAAAAAUAUUUUUCAGAAAUAGCUAAUUUUCUGCGAAACGAACGACCCUUAAUUUCAUGGUGAAAAUGAAGUGGGGAGUAAAUCACUUGGUGAAUCAAUGAGGAACUUUUUGGUUGAGAGGCAGGAGUGGCCACCGCCGCCGCCCCCUCGAGUUUGCCAGUGUUCUAUCGUAAUGGUUGAGUGAGAUUACAGUGGUGGAGUGUGACAUCGUGGAAUAUAUCUUAUCACCUUUUGUUUUUCUUCUUUUUUUUCCCGGGGGGGGGGGGGGGGGGGGGGGGGGGGUGAGAACUCGCCUUUAUUAAACUUAACGCGAGGAUUACUUUCAUUAUAAUUUUAGAAGUUAAUAAUACUGGUUAGAGCAAAAAUCAUACUUUCUAGCCAAGUUGACGACAAAAAUAUAGUAAUUUCCUAAUUACUUACGCAUUUAUAAUCAAUUUUUUAAUGCCAAAAAAAUUAUUAAUCCCAAAUCCAUUAUGUGUGAUUUUACACCUUUUUUUCAUUUGAAAAAGACACUAACGAGGAAGAGCAAAGGCCAUCCUUUUGGUAAUUUAUCUUUCUCAAAAGAUUCUAGAUAAACACUCAAUAUUUUUCGGGUUAAUACCCUGAAAAACCAUAAACUAGUACAUUUAUGACAAAUUUACCCCAAACUAUUUUUUUAACUACGAAAAACCCUAAAUUGGUACACAUGUGACAAAUUUACAUAAAAAAAAAACCUAAACUGGUACAUUUAUGACAAUUUUACCCUAAACUAAUUUAUUCGACCGUAAAAAACUCCAAACUGGUAAAUUUGUGACAAAUAUACUCUUCGUUAAAUUAAAUUAAUACCACAAAAAAAUCACAAAAUUUGUAAAUUAUGACAAACGGAGCAUAAAAUCUUAAAUUUGUAUACUGGUCAACUGUUACGUGUUAUUUAACUUAGUAAUUUGACAAUAAAAUUUAACAAAAACUAACAUAUGGUAAAUUCGUCACAAGUGUACCAGUUUGAGGUAUAUAAGUUUGGGAUUUUUAGUUGUCAAAAAAAUAGUUUUGGAUAAAUUUAUCACAGAUGUACCAGUUUGGGAUUUUUCAGGAUAUUAACCCAUAUUUUUCCAUCCUCAUGCAAAUUCAUACAAUUUUACCACUAAAAUCAAGAAAAAAAGAUGUUUGAUAUAUAUAUAUAUCUCGAAAGAAAUAAAGACCCUACGUACCGGCCGUUUCUUAUGAUGGGUAAAAACGAAAUGAUUACUAAUCUAGAAAUCUUGUAAUUGUUGUAUUAGUAACGAAACACUUCACGCCAUGAUUUGAGUCUGCUCAGAAUUAGAUACUCUUCACGAUUCUGCUCAGAAUUAGAUAUCCUUCACGAGUAAAACGUUCCUGCUUAGGAGUUGCUAUGCUGUCCAUGCGAGAAUAUGAAGGUCAUGAUGCGAUGGACCGAGUUUUUCCUCAGCAUUAAAAUGAGAGCUAAUCAUUCCCUUCUUCGACUUUCCAUUGAGGUGGAAUUCAACAUGGGUAUCGGGUUGAAAGAUGUUUUACAACGAAAAUGACAUUUAUGCAACCCAUCUUGAAAGUGUUAGUUCAUGCAAGCGUAAAAAUUUCUCCAUUUUGCAUGAAUAAUGAAAAUACCAAAAUAAAUUGGUAAAAACUUGUCAAGAAACUGCAUUAUUCUUUUAUUCUCCAAAGCGUUCUUAUUUUUUUGACCAAAAAUAAAAGCGUUCUUAUUUUUAAUUUUACAUAAAGUAACUUCAUGUUUGGCAAUAAUAGUAUUAAUACAUACGUCUUUUGAGAAUAAAUUAAAAUAAGGAGAAAAUACUCAAGGGGAUACAUUACUUUAUUGCUAAUUCUAUUGAUCUCUUCACUAUUCAAAUUCGAUUUGUUCCUCUUAACAAUAGGUUCAUUUUUUGUUAAGUGAAACCGCGGAUAGGUCUCACAUGUCGUUCAUUUUGAUAGCGAAUAUCGGACAUUUAUGAAACUUUUUUUAGCUAAAUUUUUGUAUUUAUUUAUUUUUUCUAAUUACCCACGGACUGCCGACCACCGUCCAUCGCCGCACGACCGCCGCACGAUCACGGCACGACUAUCGCACGACCACCACACAAUUGCCGAUCGUUACCGCCGACCGCCGCCACAAGAUUGCCUCCCACGACCCACCAGCCGUAGGAUGGGGCAGUGGCCAGUGAGCUAUGGGCGGCAAUCUUGCAAUGGCGGUCGGCGGUGAUGAUCGGCGAUUGUGCGGCGGUCGUGCCACGGUCGUGCGAUGGCGGGCGGCAGUCCAUGAGUAAUUAGAAAAAACAAAUAAAUACAAAAAUUUAUAAGUUUUUACCGAACGCAUUUCUAUUCUUUUUCUAUUCCAAUAAUAUAAAUUUUGUAUAAUUAUCAAAUACUUUAUUUUACUCAGAAAUUAUUUUCGGAGUCCAAAAGGAGAGUCCUCGCUGUUGUUUAACAUUUCUUUUUUGGGCGUGCGUUUCAUGCGCUCGUGUGAAAAGCAGAAACACGGUUUCAAACAUCAGGAAGAAUGACCCGGACAUCACCUUCAUAAUCUAUAAGGACCUUGUCAAAUUAAAUGUAACACGUGGGAUAUAAUAGGAAAACAAUGGUGAGUCUCAUUCGUCAUUAAUAUAUCACUUAGCAGAUGCGAAAAAAAGAAAUUAAUUUCGAGGUGGAAAGGAAGCAGGGAGUUAAUCAUAAUGAGAACCAGUGAAGAACUUUUCAAUCGAGAGGUGGGGGCUGCCGACCCCGUCACCACAACCCUCCCCUUGAGUUUGCCAGUGUAAUGGGUGGGUGAGAUUAGGAAUAGCAGAGCAUGACACCAUCACGAAGUAAGAUUUGACCGGUUCCCGUUACUCUGCUCCUCCCUUGAAACGGAAUGUUUGGCGAUCAGAUGGGUCGGUUUGGGUGGCGGCAGCGGUUGCACCGCUGCUCUAUGCCACUUGCUGUUGGUUGGACCUUCAUCAACAGUAAACUUUGAAAGCUUGGACGUACUCAAUUGAAGUGCAUAAACUUGUCAACAUUGAUAUCUAAAUAUUCUGUGCAUCUUUUAUUCUAUCAUAGGUUCAUGACGCGUCAACUACUGUUUAUAUUAGUGUGGCUUCUGAUUUCUUUCUGGUUAGAACUACCUUUUUUCUUAAGGAAAAAAUGAUUAAUAAAAAAUAGAAAAUAUCUUUAACCCACUCAAUGUCAGAUGGUCUACUAAGUGUCCUUUACAUGGGUUCAUCUCCUAUUUGGUUCAUAGUGCAAUUUGUCAUAGACGUGAACUCAGAUCUUUCGCUGAGCAAAUCCUCACUUAGUAAAGUUGACAAAAAUUGUACGGUUCGUUUGUUUCGCUUUAGGAAAAAAAAAAAACAACUACUUUCUUUGUCAUAGAUGAGACUUCGAUCUUUCUCUAAGCAAAUCAUCACUUAGUAAAGUUGACAACAAUUAUAGGGUUCGUUUAUUCGCUUAAUUAAGAAAAAAAAACACUUUCUUUAACCCAUACAAUCUCAGAUGGUCUACUAAGUGUCCUUUACAUAGGUUGCGGACUUAGGAAUUUGUUCUCAAGUUGACCUUACUUAAUCAUAUUAUAUAUGAGUUGCAGUUUUAGGAAUUUCUUCUCAAGUUAACCUUACUUACUGAUACCCACAGGGAUUUAUUACAUAGGUUGCAAUCUUAGGAUUUAUUACAUAGGUUGCGAUCUUAGGAAUUUCUUCUCAAGUUAACCUUACUUACUGAUACCCACAAAGAUUGUAGAGAGAGUAAUUCUAGAAAGAAAAGCUCUGAAUAUUGUAUUACUUGUGAGACAGAUAUAAAUGAGGGAGGACGUCCCUAUAUACAAGUACAGGCUCAAUUGGAGCCGUACAUCUUUCCUCAAUCUAACGAUAGAGUUUGCAUCUCUCCAUUUAUCUAAUCACCCGCAUUGAUUACAAGAGUGUAUAAUUAUAGUAUCGCCGCUCCAAGAGUAUUCUAGAUUCGGGGGAUAUUUGAAGGUGGCUCAUUGCUGGAUUUGUCACAGUCUUUUGUUCAGAAAACCUCUCGAUCGCAUUGCUUUUUUGGGCCGUGACAAUUGCAUAUUCCAUGGGUUAUAUCUUUUUCCCCUCUAGCAAAUUUCUUCAUUAAGACAUCGAAAUUAAUUUGAUCAUAUGAAGGAAGGAUCCUAGUAAAGAGUUCUUUCAUUCCUAGUUGGUUGUGAAUUGCAGGUCAUCCAAUAAUUCGUUCUUUCUUGACUGGACAACAUUUGCAGCAAAUUAAGACAGUCAACACAAAAUGGAUGUUUAUUCUAUUUUCAUGAUAGAAUGAUUAUUCGAUUCUUUUUCCCCCUUUGAUCAUAAUUCAGUCAAAACUUAUUGAAUUAUUUUAAUACGUAGGAGGGCCAUCAUGGAGUUUCCUCUAUCAUAGUGUACAAUUUUUGUUAAAUCAAAAGCAAUCCCUCACUUGUCCGUGUUAAUUUUGCAAUCUAAUAAUCUAACUUUAUCAUGUAUUUAGAUACUUUUAUCUCGCACAAGAUGUCAUCGAGAGCACGAACGAUCUCAAGAGAUAAAUUGAACUAGGCAAUAUAUACAUAUAUUUAUUUCCAAAGCCUAAAUGGCUAUAACACACCCUAACGUAUAUUGACGACGAAGAAAACUUCAAGAGCACGGACCCAUCGAGAUGGGCCGAGACGGAUAUAAAUGGGAUAAUUUUAUUUUAUUCUCUCUUUCUUUUUCAGGUAUUGAGACGGAUCGGGCCUGAGAGAUGAAGUGGGCCGUGUUGAGCCAUCGCACGCGUGGGCCUAAUCAGUCAUUGGGCCAUUCGCAUUGCCCAACCAUCCUAAGGAUUCUACAUAUGAGAUGAUUUCCACUAAUUUUUAAGUUAUUAUCCGACAAAAAAAAAGUUAUUUAACAAUUUCCGCAACUAUAAUUAUUUUUCAUUAACCUUAUGUCUACACUCUACUAUGAUAGACACCGGCAAAAGCUUUUGUUCUCGAGAUUUAAUGUCAAGUUUCACGAACAAUCUUUAAGAAAUUACGUAUAUUUUAUCUUUUGCUUCACCCACUUGUUCGGCCUUUCUAUGCUAUAGUCACUUCCUUUUUCUACCUAUACUAAUGAGAACAUGCAUAAUCUAAUUCUUGAAAGAGUCCUCCAUCAAGAAUAUGCUUUUCAAAAUUAACUAAUUUGACAUUUCUCUUUUUUCUUUUAUUAUCUGAUGUUUUCACGUGUUUUAUUGCGAAAUGGGAACAAGAAAAAGGGGAAUAAAAACGGUCCAAUCUAAAGGGAGACCCACCAUCUCAUAAAAUACAAUACGUUCAUCAUUAGGCUAAAGAGCUAUUCAUUUCACGAGCUGCAUUGUAACAAAGUACAGUAUAUUCAUCCACUAUAUUGCUCCGAAGAAGAAGAAGAAAGUUUCCAACUUUAUUUCUCUUUGAGAUGCGGUCAGAUAACAAGUGAAGAUUGGACAAAACCACCAUCAUUUUAACCAAUUUUAAUCCUAUGAAUUGGCAAAGAGGGAAAAUACCAAAAAAUAGACGAGAGAAGGAGAAGGGAUGAACCUGAAGGCCUCAACCAGCGCAAGGGAUAUCUAGAAGCGAAGCGGAGCUAUACAUGGAGUCUGAUAACUUAGCAAUUAUCGGUUCCCCGCUGCAAGUGGACCACGUGGCAUGGAAGGCGGAAGCACUCAUUUUGGAGGCCCAACCCCAACUGAUCCGGCCUAAUCCACUCCCUACGCAACAAGUCACCUAGCCUCUCCUCUCCGGUCGGCCGCGCGGCUCCGAAUUCGCCCUCCCCCUCCUCCUCGUCCCCUUCCUCUUCAUCCUCCGACCCCAAUCCCAAAUUCCGCAACCUGAGCACGAUCCUCUCGAUCGCAUUCUGGCCUCUGUCGUUACCGGAGUACCUACGCUCAGCCUCGCCGCGGGAAUCGGAGCCGGCGACGUCGCCGGGCGACUCCUCGUCGAUCUCGCCGGUCGGCUGCGGCGAUGGCGGCGGCGGCGGCCACAUGUUGAGCCAAGGGGCGGAGUGCGGCUUGCCGCCGCUCCUUCCGUGGGAGGAGCUGGCGUCUCUGGGAUUGGUCGUGCGGGGGGACUGGCAGAAGCAGCGCCGUUCGAGCGCUGGAGGCCGCCGCCGUGGCGGCGCCGGAGAGGCGAAGAGGAGGUGGCGGGAGCUCUGGCCGGAGCCGGAGGAGGCGCGGGGGAGGGCGUUGCGCAGUGGCAGUUCGGUAAUUUCGGCAGUUGCGAAGGCCAUUUUCUUCCCCGGUGGGCUGGAGCUUCAGUGAAGCGAGGUGGGGGACGUAGCGUGUUUCAUUGUUUGGAUACUACAGAGGAGGAGAAAAAACAAGAGGACGAAGAAGACGAUGACGAAGAAGAUAUAUAUAUUUUUGGGGGAUAUUUUUUAUUUUUAUAAUCGUUCAGAGGUGGUGAGAUAGAGCGGGCCUGAGAAAUGAUGUGGGCCGUGUUGUGGGCCAUCACCCGCGUGAGCCCAAUCAGUCGUUGGCCCAUUUGCUUGAACUUGAUGGCGGGUGCGCUAGAUAACAAUGGCGCCCUAGUUUAUGUGAAAACUUCAUGAAAGAUGAAAAUACUUUUCGAAAAAUUAUUUUUUCAGGAAAAUAUUAGUUUUCCAUUAUUUGUUGAUAUGUCACCAAAAAAAUUUUCUAGUGUUUAGAUCUCAUUCAGAAUAUGAUUUUCAAUCUCAUGACUUUAUCUAAGACAAAAAAAAAAAAAAAAAACAACAAAUUUUUAAUAUCUUUUUCUUUUUAUUUUUCUUUUCUUUUCUUUCCUUCUAUGUCUAUCAAUUGCUAGGCCUAGACGAUACUCGACAACGGCCACAACCAAGCUCAAGCUCACUUAGAUCUAGCAAGCCCCAAGCUCACCUACCUCACCCAAGCUUGAGCACGCUUGGAUCAGCUAAGCCUCAAGCUAGUUGGCUUGCGUUGGUCAGGUUGCUAGCCAUUGCCGAGGCACAUAGCUGGUGGAUAAAGGAGAAAGGUGGAGAAAAGGGGAAAAAAAGAAAAAAUAAUAAAUUUAAUUAAUUAAAAAUAUAAAUAAUUAAAAUUUUACGUUUUUAAGAAUAUGUUUUUUGUAAUAACAAACAUUUCAUUAAACAAAGACCCAAGCUUGAGCAUCGAGAACCGGUGCAUGAUCUUUGUGAUCACAAGGCUAAGGGUUGAGACUAGAGUUCAAGCAUCGAGGCCUUGAGCUCAACUUUAUAGACCUAAGUUCAAGUGCCGAUACCCAAUGCCGAGAGCAGGACCCCCGUUCCAAACGUAGAGGUGCCGUAGCUAUUGUGCAUGCUUCCUAGCACGGGGAUGUCUCAUAACAGGAGGUUGUCGUGGCUACUAUACAAGCUAUGCAGUAGGGGGUUGUUGCUGCAAUAAGAGACCGUCACAGCUUAUGCAGAGGCUACACAACAAUAGAACAAGUUGACGCAAUUGCGGACAUGAAGAAUCGAGUUGGGAGAGGUAUAUUAGUAGUUUUUGAAAAAGAGAAUGACUUGUGCUGCAAAUGUUCACUAGCCUGAUAUCAAGAAAGAACAAUGUGGCAAAGAGUAGUUUCCAUAUAUCUUUGAAUAGUACACGAGCCCAUUUUUAAACUUUAUUAGAUGACCAUCAUAAUCAGGAUAUCAAUUAUAAUCAAUCGACAACAUGCACAAUCAAUGCAAAUAAAUGUAUAAUACUAAGGGAUAUGGAAAGUCAAGGAAAAUAUUCUAAUUAUUUAUAACAUGGGAAAAUAUCCUAAUUAUCUAUAACGGUGACUUCCCAUGGCGCGGCCUCCAUCUCCAUCAAUUAUCACCCCCAAGUACAGGUACAUCUGCCACUCUCUCUCUCUCUCUCUCUCUCUCUAGGGCACGAGUUUGAGGUCAAUGACCUCGUUCUAGAUAUAGAGCACUUGGGGGUUUGUUGGUGAUGGCCAAGGUGUCGCCGUUGCCGCCGCAUGCUCUAGGUGUUCGCUGAAGCGGCGUGAUGCAUGUGGAUUGCAAAAAAAAAAGUCCCGCACUUUUGCCAAAUGAAGAGCUAGCUUUUGUGAUGUAAUCAUAUCAAUUGGUAUUAGAGCCGUCCAUCAUCUCUUCCAAUUGAAAUUGAGAAGCGCGGGUGGCGACGCCGGUAUUGUAAUUGCCCGUAUUUAUCAAAAGGCUAGGUCAAAAUUAGCCCAGUGUAGAAGCUGGGUUUAGGAGCGUUGUGGACUGUCAUGGAUGAAAGCCUCUUUCUCAAUCUUUCAAUUUUUUUUUUAAUAGUUCGACCAAAAAAAAAAAUUAUAGUACUUUUACAGUUUGAAGCUAUUUUUAUAUGGCUUUUUAUGUUUAUGUAAAUUCCAAUAAGUGCCAGAUGUCUUAUUUAAGGAAAAAAAAAAGAAUUAUAAGUUUCUGUUUUGGAGGUUUGAAAUACUUUUAACUCUAGUCAAGAAAAACAAAAUCGGGGUCUUAUAUUAAAAGUAAUGGAAACGAGAUAAAAAAUAAAAAGAAAAAAAGAAAGGUGGCAAUCAUCGCUAAAUUCUGUUUGUUCUUGUUAAUUUCCACAUUAUCAUCGAUACAUUCGAAAGUUCAAACACUUUAUCGAAAUCAUGACAAUAUAGUAUUCAGAAAAGUUGAUUAGCGGAAUGAGUUUUGCUCAUUUUAUUUUAUUGGGUCAAUCACACGUUUGAUGAAACAUAUAAUUAAUAUUUAUAUUUCCUUGGACUAUAAAGAAAAGUUAGCAACCUUUCUACAUCAAUGACGGCAAAAAAGGUAAAUGGAACGCAAUCAUGUAUACACAGAACAAUAUUAUCUAAAGUGUACACAGAUGCACACCUAAUCAAGAGUACUUUAGGUUCAUGGAUAUCGAGGAACGCAUUUAGCGUGCAUGGAGGAAGUCUUAUUUAUCAAGUGACAUGAUUGUGACUAUUGAUGAAAUAUAUGAAAUCUGCAGCCUUUUAAGUUGCUAAUCGAGAAAAGACAUAAAAAAAAAAUCAUGUCUCCGUUUACAAAAGAAACCAGAGUAAUUGGAUAUUAGCCUAAUUCAUCCAUCAACGGCUGUGAAUUUGGUGUUGAAUUCGUUCUGCACCAGGUGCUGCAGCGGCUGGGAACUCUUGCUGCUGCGUCAAUUUACAGGUUGAGCGUCUAAAAUGUUCAAGGGUUUUACACUGUCUCGUAUGGACUCAGAAUCUGUUUCUCGAACUUGUUGAUUGGGUUGCUUUCGCCAAAGGUUGAUCCAAAGAUGAAAGUCCGGGGGACGGGGCCUCGUUGCGACGAAAGGAUCACAUUGACUUUAAGCUUUUCCUUCGCCGCCUUCAAGUCCUGGUAAUCUGAAAUUCCGCUGUUAUGGCUUUGCUAAAAUCAUUUGCUUAGUUCUCAGAGAUUGAAUUCUCUUCUGCACUUCACUGGUGCUGGGAGUAGUACUAGUUUUGUAGGUUACGACUUUGUGUAUACAUUGUUUUUUUUUGUCUUUUAACAUUGUGCAUAUGAGUGACCGUGACUUUGUACUCAUCCUUUGUAAGAGAUUGUUUGGGGAUUAAGGAGCAAGAUCAAAGCUUACAUCUGUGAUUAUUAUAUAAUCAGAUUGGCUACUGCAUUCAAUAGAUAGUUAUGAAGCCUCAGUACUCAUCACUGUUAGACACUACGAAAGUAUUUGUGGUUUAAUGUUGUGUUCGCAAUAUGUAGGUCCUAGAUGGCUACCAAUUUGUUCUGAUCUCAAUUUCCGAAUCAAAUGAGCCAUGGAAACCGAUGCAAGUAAAAUCCUAGGUGGAUAUAUGUAUCUUAAGAUGUGUUUGUUUGGAAGAAAACUUCAUAAAAAAAAAAUGAAAAUGCUUUUUGAGAAAUUAUUUUUUUUUUAAGAAAAAUGAUUAGUUUUCUUUUGUUUGGUAAUAUGUGAUCAAAAACGUUUUUUUUUUUUAAAUAUUUUGAUAACAUUUGGAAAAUAAAUUCAAUAUCAUGACUAUAGCUCGAGCAAAAUAGAAAUCUUUUUUUAAAUAAUUUUUUUUUGUUUUUUUUCCCCUUCUUCCUCCUCACCAACCAUCAUCGAGGCCAACCCGUUUGGGCAAAACGUAUCAAGCAAGCAGGGCCUCGCUGCAACGAGGCGAGCACCUGUGGCCAAUGACAAUUCAAGAUGAGUAAUUCCAGAUAUUGUUUUUACCUUCUUAGAUUUGGGAAUUUAUUUUCCUAAUUUUAUGCAAAAAUAUUUUACUUGACCGGAAACUAUUUUCAGUUAACUAAGUAUUUUUUAUGAACCAAACCGUGAAAGUUUGGAAGCCUAAUUCCAUUAAAAAGACUUUUCCUCAAAUAAACGUAUCAUUAAGCUCCGCUUAUUUUGUGAGAAAUGAAUGAUUUGGAAUAUGUAAUUAUAUGGGCAAUUAGAUUUGUGAUAAUUGACCAUGAUAUACUUAACGUCAAAAAGAGAGAAAAAAAAAGCUUGUAAAGGCUCAUCAGUUGUCAUGUCUAUCUAGGGGUACCGAUUGCAAAAAAAAGGUAUGCCUCGCCACCCACUAUGGGUCUCUUUUGAGUGGUCCAGGGGCAGUUGGCCAGCUAUGGUCACUGUAAAAUAAUUUUUACGAAUGAAAGAGUGGACAAAACCGUGGAAUUUGUCGAUGUCCGGUCGAGAAUUUGUAGGUGCGCACAUUGAUUUGAUUGCCCCCAUUGUGAGUUCAUACACUUCCCCUCCAAUUUCGGCUUUAGAAGCAAUGCUAAUUGUCUGUUUAACAAAACUGUGAUGUUCUAUUUUCUACGAAGCAAAUCAACGUGAUUGUCGAUGAUGCCAAAUAAAUGAGAUCUCUGCAAAGUCCUUAAUAUUGUCAGAUUACAUGUAAUAAGAUUCAGAGAAAUGGUUGUAAGAUGACAUUAUUGUUACUUAACUCCAGGGCAAUGGCAACGUAAGCAACCUUUUCCUCGGCAUCCAAGAUAUUGUCCAAGCCACUUUUGUCGGGGGUAGAGGAAUGCGAAUGAUGAAGUUUAUCAAAGUGGAAAGAGAAUAGGGAAUACGAAUGAUAAAGGUUAUCUUAGUGGAAAGAGAAUGGGGAAUGCGAAUGAUAAAGGUUAUCAAAGUGGAAAGAGAAUGAAAAAUGCGAAUGAUGAAGGUUAUCAACAUGGAAAGAGAAUAUAGAUCGCAGGCUGAGAGUUAUUUCGCUAGCAAAAAAAAUAAAAUAAAGUACAUAUUUCCUCGAUCGUCUCCAGCUGAAAUGAUUACCAAUCAACUUGCACUAUGAAAAGACUAUGCGAAGCUACUGUGCGCCCUACAUUAUUUGGGUCUGCUAUAUGAGUUAGAUGCUUUGGAAGGGUUAAACAUCGAUCCUGCACUUUAAUGCAUAGGUUUUCGCCACUAUCGCGUGCCCUUUGUUUUGUUUUGCUUUAUUUAGGCGGUUGCUGGCCUGGCUCCAUAAAGGAGUCACUAAUCAGUCCAUGCGGGCAUAUGGAGGUCACGAUGCGAUGGAUCGGAUGUUCUCCGUUAGAAUAAGAGCUAAUCAUCCCCUUCUUAACUUACCAUUGAUGUCGUAUUCCACAUCGAUAUCGAGUAGAAAGAUGUUUUACAGCGAAAAUGAUAUUUUAAGCAACCCAUCUCGAAAAUGUUGUUAAUUCAUGCAAGCAUAAAAUUUCUCCAUUAUGUAUGAAUAAUGAAACUACCAAAACAAAAUGGUAAAAACUUGUCAAGAAACCACAUUUGUCUUUUAUUAUCCAGAGUCUUCUCAUUUUUGUUUUUAUGUAAGGUAACUUCAGGUUUAGCGAUAAUAGUAACAAGAUAUUCGAGUUUUGAAAACAAAUUCAAAAUCAUGAGAAAAUACUCAAGAGGAUACAUUACUUUAUUGCCAAUUCAUGUAAAAUACUCAAGAGGAUACAUUACUUUAUUGCCAAUUCAUGUUGAUCUUUUCACUAUUCAAAUUCAUUUUGUUCCUCUUAAAAUAGGCUUCUUCUUUUUUUUCCGAGAGGUGAAAGCGCAGCUGGGUCUCACACAUCAUUCAUCUUAAUAGCGAGUAUUGGACAUUCAUGGAACUUUUUUGCUAAAAACUUAAAUUUUGAUAAUGUUUCUGUGUUUUUUUUCCUCGUAAUUGAAUUUCGGGAAGACUUCAAGCCAUAUAUUUAGAAAUGCGUAGCUGUCCAUGGCUGAUAUUGGAACAAAGGGGACGUCAAUCCAUCUUUUGAAAGAAAUGUACCAGCAAGACACAAAAGUAAACAGUGAAAACAAUACGAACAAAUAAAAGCGAGUUGGAAGUCCCCAUCAGGGCUAUUAUCUCCAUCAGGCCGAACGACACUUGUGAACGGAAAUUCCAACACCGAAAGGGGAAUCGAGGAAGAGCAAAUUUACCUCUGCGACGAAACAACAAGAUGAUAUAAGUGAACUGUCAUCUAAAAUACAACCUCCUAGUGACGCCGUGGUGUCCAAGAGUUUGAAAGAAGUAACAUUUACUAUAAUUUUCAUUGGUUUAAAUAGGAUGCCUAACUUGCAUGAAAAGAUUCAUUACUUUGGAUUCUAAAGACCGUAAUGGGAGUGUCAUUUCAUAUCACAAAUUAACAUUACAAGCCUAUGCCCUAGAGAUACUCUAGUAUAUAUUCCAGUUAUUGCAUUACUUCUCAGAAAAUAUUUUGUGAAAAUGUCAUAUUUUUCGUGAAAUAAACGGAGCUUCAACUCCGAGAAAUGAUUAGAAUGACAAAAAUAGGGGCGGGUUAUAAAACGGCAGGCCAAGAGAUGGAAUUCUAAACGAGAAAGCGAUUUGUUUGAACCGACAUGGGCUCACAGGGUCAACGGAAGAUGCUGAAAACAAGAAGGGAUGGGAGAUAUUGUAAUGAAUGGUUGAUAGAACUCGUUAGAACUUAGCACCAAUUAUGCAGGUGUUACAAUUUUCUUGGGAAGCAAUGUUUUGCAUAUGAGUAUGCAUCUCUUGGCACCUAAUGGUCCGAUCGACUUUCACUUUCGUCCGUUUCUCACCCCAAGAUAAGAUCUCUAUGAUGAAAUUAUAGCUUUUUAACCAUAGAUAAGAAGCAAAUGCAAAAUCAAGCAAAACGGUCCUAAUUGUUCAUAGUUCGACCCUACAGUAAUCUCAUUUUGUAAUUGAAUCUUUAUGUUUUUCAAUACGGGAAGACAAUGGCCAAUUCCUUUUAUCAAAUGCCCAAUUCACUGUCACAUAGCGUUUGCACCACCAUUUCCCUUGCCUUGGCUUCAUCAAUAUCCGCAAUGCAGCUUGACUUCUCGUAACAAAAAAGAAGGAAGUAAGAUUUUUCGAGGCAUAGCAAUCGAUUUGUGCCUUGAAAAUGAGACGCGUUCACACGACAACCACUUCACACCAAGUCUUUGUUUAAUGUUUUCUAGCUCGCGGGCGCGUGUGUGGGCUGGGCUAAACCCCCAUUGAGUUACGUGUGUUUCAAAUAAUUGAGACCGAAAAAAGGGAUGAACUAUAAUUUCCCGUUUGUUGUCUGGUGCGGUCUAAUAUUGACAUAACUAAUGUGCAUGUUGAGAAAUUGUCCUAUGAUGCACUAUAGAGUCCUGUCAUGAUUGCAAAAAUGCGGGGCCAAGUGUAAAGCGAUGGUCAAAUGAUAAAAAACUUAGGUUAGAAAAUAAUAAUGAAACACAAUUAGAGGGUCAAAAGCGUAACAGGCAAACCCGAUGUAAAAUGAAGGGAAUUUCUUCGAUGUUAGAGGGCUCUCCCGCAGUUACAUUCCUAUAAAUAUGCGAAGAUGGAGCAAAGCCAACUCCCAAGAGUUCUCAGGCCCCCUGUUCCGUUUAACAUUGUGCUUCUUCCUCCUUCCUCCUCCCUUGAAACAGCUAGAAACAUUUGGUAAUCAGAUGGGUCGGUUUUAGUGGCCGCGGCAGUGCUACUCUGCACCACCUGCCGGUAGAUUGCUCCUUUGUCGAUGGUAAGCUUUCAAAACUUGGACAUAUUCAAUUGAAUGGCACAAACUUGUGGACGUUGAUAUCUGAAUAUCCUAUUUACCCUUUUAUUCUCUCUUAUGUUCAUCACUCAUCAAGAUCUGUUCACUUUAGUGUGCCUUUUUGUUACUUUUUGGUUCAUAAUUGUUUUUUGCUUAAGGGAAAAAGUUAUCCCAAAAAGAAAAUGGAUUUCUUUAAACCACUCGAUUCCAAAUAUCUGCUGAGUGUCCUUGAUCAUCUUCUCUUUGGUUCAUGGCGCCACUCAUCAUGAAUGUGAACUUGAUCUUUUGCUAAGCAAUUCUCACUUUGUGAAGUCGACAGAGAUUUGUAGGGUUCAUUUGUUUUGCUUAAGGAAAAAACAUGAUCCACAAUGAAGAAAAAAAAAACUGAAGCUUUCUUUACCCCACUUGAUUUCAAAUAUCGGCUAAGUGCCCUUUACAAGGGUUCAUCUUCUCUUUGGUUCAUGGUGCAACUCGUCAUGGACGUGAACUUGAUCUUUUGCUAAGCAAAUCUCAUACGGGUGUUUAACUCGUUGUUUUAGCAUCUCAUUUAACAAAUAAUAUCGUAGAAGCACUUCUAUAUUAAGGCUUUUUAUAUGUCAGUAUUAUAUUGUGAAUGACAAAUCCUCGUAUGAGUGCAGCCCAAGCCGUCACAGUCUCAUGGGGGAGAGAGAGAUGGAAGUCGAUUGGUCAUCUUUGCAUGUCUUGGCGAAAACUUCUGAAUUAGUUCACGAGAGACUGCUAAGUCUCUCUCCCACAGCUCAAACCCGACCGACCGAAUUGCCGCAUAUCUUCUGGAACAAAAUACUGGAGAUGCAUGGCCAGGGAGUGAUGCUCGUGCUAGAGAAGAGAUUGUGUGCCACGGACUUGAAGCGACGCAAUGGUUGGCUCUCCAUACCCCAGGGGCAGAUACGAACAAAUUUCUUGACCAGUGGAGAGAUCCGAGCCCUAGACAACAGGGAGGACAUUACAGUUUCCCUAAUCGAGCCUUGUCUGCAAGUACGCCAUGGGUUGCAGCUCCAGAAAUGGAAUAACGUGAGGAAUCAUUUUUCUUAUGUAUUGACCAGGAGGUGGACUGCUGUCACGCACCCGAUUGCGCGGAACAGACUCAGAAAGGGUGGCCUCGUCCAGCUUUGGUCCUUUAGAGCGAAUGGGGACCUUUGUUUCUGCCUCGUGAACGUUGAAGCACCCCCAGCUGCAGUGGAAAAUAUGGCUAAUUAAGAGUGAUAACUUAUUCUGUUUCAUGAAUUUCUGAAUCAAGUUAGGAAGUAGAUUGUGAGUUUGUGGAUCAACUUGGAUCGUCUGUGAUGUUAUUGUUGUUGGUGGUGGUGGUGGUGGUUUUUUUUUUUUUGCUUUUAUGGAGGAUUUGCGGUUGUUUAGUUUGUGGAUCAAUAUUAAUGGUGUUGUCGUUGUGUUUUCUUUUCUUUUUCUUUUUCUUUUUUAAUGGAGGAUCCUGUUGUUUAUCGUUUUUAACCUGGAAAUUGCAUGGGCUGUUGUUUCUUGUUCUUUUUAUUUUUUGAAGUCAUUGGAGAUUAAAAAGUAAUUCAUCUCUCUGUGCUAGAAUCGCCGUCAUUGAUUUUUGCAGACUUCGAUAGAGUUUCAGUUCCGGUGAAAGCCCUACUCCCAAGUUUGAAGACUUUUUCGUAAAAUACUUUCUAAGUAUUUUAAAACAUUUGUUUGGCCGACAAAAGGGCCUCCACAUCUGUUUUUUCUCCUCUUCAAACUACCUCUAAUUGGUGUAGUUUCGAAUUCAUAGGGUCCUCUUCUUUGGCUAGGGCAUAAAGAUGGCCAUCCUUUGCUCACAUUUGCUGUUGAACAAUGAAUUCUGGGUUUUUUCCGGUUCGGGCAAGCUUUUGGGUCGUGGAUGAUGAACCAGCCCACCACGUCUACACAAUUAUCCCGAUACUGAAUCCUGUGAUGAAUAAAGUGAUUGUAUGAGGAUAGGGUUUUUCCCAUUCAAGAGGUCAUAGCAUCCGGUGAUGAAAUGAAAUCAAGAAACGUAUUAGGCUAGUUCCUGAGUCGACCUUGGAACCCUGUAAUUGAGUCCGACAUGAUUUCUUAUCCAGAGAUCAAGAAAAAUGACUUUAUGCGGUGAAGGGAUGUGGAAAGAGUGAGGUGAGCAAUGGGGAGGAGGGAUUAAGGUUUCGACGCUUGAGGUGCACGCGAUGGUCCGGGGAGGAAGAGGAUCGGGAUCUCGGACAUAUUCCGACUUUGGAGCUCCGUUGAAGAGGUAGUGCAGCGCAAUGUUGUUACUCGAUUACUUCAGAAAGUCUGAUCUUGAAGCCAUGGACGCCUAGUCUCUUCAAGUGGGCAACUGCUGCUUGCGCAUGGAGCUCAUCGAGCAGCGUCGAGGCUGAACUCGGGCUUGGCACGGAGGGCAGAAUUGAAGGAGGAGGAGUUGCCAGGGCCUUCGGACACUCUGGUGAGUAACCUGUGUUAGAUUGCUCGGAGAAGCUGCGAGUUCAUGAGAUGAAAGAGUAGAAGAAAAGGGAAAUGAAAGGAAAAAGUACAAAAGGAAAACACCUGGAAAUUCAAGCAAUUAAUUAUAAGGGGAAAUGAUUAGCUUAACCGUACCGUUAGCUAAUGAAACACACUGCGAACCCUCCACCACACAUUUUCCCAUGCUUGCGAGACGGUUAGCAAGUUUCCACAAGGUUGUCCUGGAGGAAGAAAACUUUGAGCUGGGUCCCUCCACCGUAGUUAACGGUGGAGGGACCCAAUUACAAGCGACUUCGUUUUCUCUAGAAUUCUAACACGAUUAUGUCUCCUUAAUGGAAAAUGAUUAGCUAACAGUACCAUCAUUUUGCAAAUUCAGCCACGCUUUUUCUACAGAGGUUGAGGAAACAGGGAGACCGGUUGUACCACUUUCUUUUUCUUUUUUUUUUUCUUUUUUUUUUUUGACUUCCCAUGACAUCCUAUUAUCUUGGCUUUAUUUAGAAUUAGAUUAGAGAAUUUAAAAGGGAAAAUGAUUAGGUUGCAGUACCCAAGAAAAAUCCCCGUAAGUGGAUAUUUUUCCAAUCAAAGAAAAGUUUUUAAGUAAACUCAAAAAUUUUAAAUUGAAACUUUAAAGGAGUGAAUAUCAUACUCCACUAAAGAAAAUUUUUAGGGACUGCUGUCCCCAAAUAAAAUAAACCUAGUAACUCAAAUAAAAUAAAUUAAAAUGUGACCAUCCGAUAUACUUUGAACUUCUGAUUCUUUAGUAUUUUGCAAUGGAGAAAAAUUCAUUAGUAUCUACUUCAUUGAUCGUAAGAAAGUAAAAAAUAUUUGUUGACUAUUAAAUUUUAAUUGGUGUUUGUCAUUAUAUAUUUAGACAGAUAAUGGUUAAUUUUUUUUUCCUAAUCUCAUUCAGAUGGAUGGAGUUUGUAUUGCAUAUCUUCAUCUACUAGAUUUGUGGUGAUGAGAUAAUAUUUUCAUCUACUAAUUAUUAUUCUUAUCUUAAACUUUUUUUAAAACUCAUCUAUUUAUAUGCUUAAUCGAUAUAAAUGGUUCUUGAUUACGAAUGAUCGAAGAGUCCUUUUACUACAAUUUGAUUUGAGCGCAAGGAAGGAAGAGUCAUUUCAUUGCAGAGUGAUUUCAUUAUUAGUUGUACAGCUAACAUUUUAAAUAAUUUUUCAUCUUUAAAAUUUAAUAAAUGAUACUAAUGAUUUCUUUUAAAUUAGUGAUGAUAUUUUUUUCACCUAUGAUUAUCUGUAUUACGGUACUUAAAUUGCUUUUCCAUUCUUCUUAUUCAAAAUGUUCCACUUACUAGAAUUUUUCCACUUGUGAUUUGGUACUGUUAGCUUUUAGCUAAUAAUUUGCCUUUUCAAUUACUCCAAUCUAAUCCUAAAUUAAGCCAAGAAAAUAGGAAGCCAUGGGAAGUCAAAAAGGAAAAAGAAAAAAUCACUGGAGCCAAUCUCCCUAUUUCCUCGAUAAAAGAUGUGGUUGACGUUAGACGGUUCUUACCGUCACAAAAGCCCUACCGGCGACUGCUUUUGCUCUGAAGAUCUGAUCAUAAAAUUUCACGAACGACCGUCGUGGAUGUUACUGCCGAAUCAAACCGUGGGGCAUUUUGACAUGGUGACUGAUUAUGGAGGCAAUUCACACUUUCAUAUCACCUUAAUGCAUCAGUGCAAGCAAGACAAAUGAAAUCUCUAGCCCUGCUUGCAAAAUUAGUUCCUCAUUGUACGCAUCAUCCUGAUCAUGCUCGUCUUCCUCUUCGGUCUCCCUACUGAUCUCAGCGGGGUAGACAGGUUGUCCGAAAACAGGAAAAGUGCCAAAAAAAGUCUUAAACUUUUUGUUUUUGUGCCGAUUUAGUCCUAAACCUUUUUUUGGUGCCGAUUUAGUCAUAAACCUUUUUUACGUUGUGCCAAUUCAAUCCUUUCCGGCCAAUUUUGGCCGGAUUUUGCUGACUGGACGCCGGCCAACUAACAUGGCCUGAUUGGCACUGAUGUUGACAAUUUUUAAUAAUAUUUUAAUAUUUUUGAAUUUCUUUUCUUUUUUUCUUUUUCCUUUUUUCUUUUUUUCUUCCCUCUUCUUCCUCUAGCCAGUCGCCGGACCUCGGCGAUCAACCACCUCGCCAGAGGCCACGAGGGCGGCCUCGCACUGGGCGGCGAGGCUCAACCUCGCCAUAUCCAACAAGGGCGAGCCUCGCCUGCUCGGCGCGAGGCCGCCCUCGAGGCCUGGGCGGCGAGGCUUGCCCUCACCAGAUUUGGCGAGGAUCGAGCCUCGCCCGACGAAUCGUCACCACGGGGGAAACCAGGCAAAUAUCUGGGGCUGGAGCCAUGCGACCAAGGACACCUCAAGCUCCUAUAAAACCCUAGAGACGACGACGAUUAAGCGGAGGGAGGAAAUUUCUAGGGCGAGAUUGGGAUCAGGGAAUGGAGUGGGGAGAGCUAGCCUCGCGCCGAGCUGGCGGGGCUCACCCUUGCCGGCCGUCGCCUCUGGCCGGUUCCCGAGGUCUAGCGACCAGCUAGAGGAAGAAGAGAGAAGAAAAAAAGAAAAAUUCAAAAUUCAAAAAAGCAGAAAAAAAUUCAAAAAAAAUUCAAAAAUAUUAAAUUAUUAUUAAAAGUUGUCCAUGUCAGCGAUCAGGCCACAUCAGCCGGUCGGCAUCUAGUCAGCAAAAUCCGGUCAAAAUUGAUCGGAAAUGACUGAAUAGGCACAACGUAAAAAGGUUUAGGACUAAAUCGGAACCAAAAAAAGGUUUAAGACUAAAUCGGCAUAAAGACAAAAGAUUUAUGACUUUUUUUGGCACUUUUCCCUCCAAAAACGGUUUUAUGUCAACGGCUUGAAGUAAUCCAAAACAGCAUCGAUCAAAUUGUGUGUACCUAAUAGCAAGAUACAUACGUGGCUUUUGAGAUUAUAGUUGGGUUCGUGUUUGAUCCAAAAAAUUUGUGCGAGUCGUGCGUCGUUGAAUUGCUCGCAAGAAGUCAUUGGAAAGUAAGGAAAUAAAAUAACCUGAACUUUUCUUGUUUGAAGGCUGAGGAUCGAACCUAAAAAAGAAUCCUUUCUCGUUCUUUUAAGCAGCGCUGAAUCCGUUGCGUUAUCGAAAGGAACUAGCUGGUGAACUUACGAUGCUUCGUAUGAAUUCAGGGAAAUCAUGCAAGUUCAUCAGAAACCCUAGAAAUGGUUGCUCUUGCUGGUGCACUGCACGUUAGAGAAUUCAGCACCUUCUUCCCACUUCUUUACUGAAAAGAGAAGACAACGUAUCAAUGGACAUUCCACUCGGCGCAAGAUUAAAAAAAAAAAAAAAGCGUCGAUGCUUCAUUAACACGUGCAAUAUUUGAUCCACACCGCAAGGCCGCGGCGGUGUCGGAGAAGCGAAGAGGAGGUGAAGAGAGCUCUUGCCGGAUGAGAAGGUGUGAGGGAGGGCAUCUCACGGCGGCAGUUCGGUGAUUUUCACGGUCGCGGCGGCUAUUUUCUCCCCGGGGUCAGAGCUUACUAGCGAAGCGGGGUGUCUGCCAGGGCGUCUCCCAUGGUCCGAAUAUUUCAAA